GACGAGGGACCCUAGCGUUGUUCGGAAUCAUUGGGCGUAAAGCGGGUGUAGGUGGCUUUGUAAGUCAGGUGUGAAAGCCUGGGGCUUAACCCCAGAAGUGCAUCUGAUACUGCGAAGCUUGAGUGCUGGAGAGGUUACUAGAAUUCCUGGUGUAGUGGUGAAAUACGUAGAUAUCAGGAGGAAUACCGGAGGCGAAGGCGGGUAACUGGCCAGACACUGACACUCAGACCCGAAAGCGUGGGGAUCAAACAGG
rnacentral:rRNA from 1 species